AAAAAAUAUGUAUUUGUUUAUGACCACAUUUUUCAUUACUUUUCUUAGAAAUAUUAAGGUUGCUCUCUAUUGCAUCCCUUUUGUCAUGCUUCAGUAAUUUUCUAAAUAUAAUAUCAGGCCAAUUUGUCCCAAAAAGGGGGUCUUAGGCCUCCUCUAAAUCCUAUUUAUAAGAGGUUGAUUUUAAACUGGCCUAAGCAUAAACUUUAACAUGUAAACUGCAAAAGAUUGCAAGUUAUAAAACUAUGAUUUAAGGUUCAGGAUUAUUAAAAUCCCCAAGCACAUGUAUUGUCCAAAAGCUUAUUUAACUGCAUAUAAAAUACCCCUGGUUCUCCUAAAACUGAACUAACCCGGUUAUCACAAAUAUUUCAGUGUAAACUAAGGAAAUUUUCAAAGUCAAAAUUCCAUUACUGAGAGGCUGGUGAGGAGGGCAAUUGAGAUAUGCGUCCAUAACACAUUGUACCCUUCUUCCACAAUCAGAUUUCCAUGUUCAGUAACUUAUUUGUAAUUGUUUAAAAAAUACUGACUUCAUAAUGAACACUUGAAAGUACAAAGUUUCAAGUUUAUUUGAGUGACCAUAACAUCAUAGUAAACUAUUGUACAAAAAACCUUUACCUACUGUACUGUUGUACAUCUUGAAAACAAAAUAAUUGAUAAAAACUAGUUUCAACUCAUUCAAAUGCCAAUGAAAUUUUAAAAUAGGAAUGAAAAAAAAAACUCAAACUCAAACUCAAAAAUAUUCAAUAAUGUAGCCUCAUUUCAUUUUCCUAAUUGCACAAUUUUUUUUUGUCACAGAAAACAUGGAAGAAACUAUCUUUAAUUAUAUUUUUCUAAAUUUCUUUGAUAUUCUCCACAGCAAAAUAUAAAAAUACAUGUAGCAGUACUUUAUAAUAUUACAAAAGCAUACAAUAAAAGAUAACUACAAAUCAUAGUAUACAUAGGAAUAAAUCUUCAUAGCAUGUGCAAUGUUUGUAACAUAUUCAGUUGGAAUUAUUACAUAUCAAUAUAAAUUGAUCUGCUUCUUUACUGAUGCCUUGUUUUCUCUUCCUUUCACUCCUGCCU
rnacentral:lncRNA from 1 species